rnacentral:rRNA from 1 species
GGGAAUUUUCCGCAAUGGGCGAAAGCCUGACGGAGCAAUACCGCGUGAGGGAUGACGGCCUAUGGGUUGUAAACCUCUUUUUUCAGGGAGGAAACAAAUGACGUUACCUGAAGAAUAAGCAUCGGCUAACUCCGUGCCAGCAGCCGCGGUAAGACGGAGGAUGCAAGUGUUAUCCGGAAUCACUGGGCGUAAAGCGUCUGUAGGUGGUUGAAUAAGUCAACUGUUAAAUCUUGAGGCUCAACCUCAAAACCGCAGUCGAAACUAUUCGACUAGAGUAUAGUAGGGGUAAAGGGAAUUUCCAGUGGAGCGGUGAAAUGCGUAGAGAUUGGAAAGAACACCGAUGGCGAAGGCACUUUACUGGGCUAUUACUAACACUCAGAGACGAAAGCUAGGGUAGCAAAUGGGAUUAGAUACCCCAGUAGUCA